UAUGCUAACUUAAUACAAAUCAUUGUGUUGAUAGAAUAUUUAGAUCAGUACACAUGCAUGAAAUAGAAUACAAUCCGACCUUAGCUCAGUUGGUAGAGCGGAGGACUGUAGUAGACGCAGAUUAUCCUUAGGUCACUGGUUCGAAUCCGGUAGGUCGGAAUUUGCUCCCACAUGAGAGCUUUUUAUUUUUCUUUUGUUGUGACAUUAAGGUGUUUGAAUUUUAUAAUAAACGGUUAUAUGGUGGUCGACAAUUCAACAUACCGAAAAGUUUUGCUCGUAUUCUUAAAUGAUCCGUAUGUUUAGCUUUUUUCAAUAUUGAUACGAUGAGAAAUGAUUUAAAAGU
rnacentral:tRNA from 1 species